GCGGGAAUAGCUCAAUUGGUAGAGCGGCAGCCUUCCAAGCUGUAGGUUGCGGGUUCGAGUCCCGUUUCCCGCU
rnacentral:tRNA from 1 species